UUUCAUUUUGCCACAGCCUGUGGCAUUUUGCAUCCACAACACCUCUUAACGAGUCUGAAUAAAACACAGGGAUUGAUGUAAAAACCUAACUGUGAAGAAACACCUCCUCCUGCAACUCACUUGGGGGGUUUUCUAUGCUGUCAGUGCUGUGCUGAACUGUAAUGCAUUUCUCCUUCCAAUAUAUUUUUUGUAAGGUCUGGAUGGUAUACAAGUUCCAUCAUACAGAAAUAAACAUACUGGUUGGCUCUUCAGCAUGGAAGCUCAGGGAAAUACGGCUUUAUAAAAUUUAAUUUGCAAACUGAAAUGCAGUGACCAAGAAUCUCUGCAGUUAGUAACCAAUUCCAGAUUUGGGGCUGAUGGUGAAUGUCUCAGAGCCUCUUCCUCGCCCCCAAAAAACGCCGUCCGUGCGUAGCAGCGCUGCAGUACCACACUGCGUCCAGCAGGUGGCGCUGCUGCUCACAGGCGGCGGUGGGGCGGGCACAUUCAAAUCUACCGCGGCGCUGAGCCAAUCGGCUGCCACCGGGCGCGGAGCGGGGGCAGAUGGGAGCAGAGCGGUCCGGUCCCAGGGCUCGCUCGGGAGCGCGAACGGAGAGAGAAGAGACAGCGUAGAGCCUGCGGGGGAGGAUAAUCGAGAGCUGUAGGUCUUGAUAUCGCUUCCCACUCUGAGCACGAGGAGGAGGCUCGGGAUGCCAAUCUGGGUGAUGCUGCAGCCGAGGCCCUGUGAGCAGCAGUUACACUGCAGCACCCUGCUACCCACAACGGCCUUCCAGUUAACUCUUCUCUGUAUUCUUAGAACGCUUCUUGAUGAAAAGAGAAUUGGACAGGUUACCUUGCUUCUUGAGCAAGUGCCUCGGUCACUGGACUAAUGGAGAGCUGGGAGUGAAUGCUGCUGGAUGUUCAGAAACACACAAAUUUGGCAGCAUAUAUUACACUGAGAGAAAUACCUGGACUGGGGCCUUCGUGUGGCUCAGAGGAACACUUCCUAUCUGCACAAUGACUGGACUUAAACCAGCUUUUUGUAAACCACCCUCACCAUUCUGACCUAGAACAGGAACAGGACUUUAUGGCAUGUUCUUACUGCAAAAUAAGCCAACGACAGAGACCUAGCUCCACUUUGGGACCUAUCACUAAUACUGUACAACUCUUGAACUGUGCUAAAUAGCAAUUUAUGAGAGAGAUCUAGUGCACCACAGAGCUGGCAAUGGAGAGUGCACAUGAGACUGUAUCAGAACUGGUUCCUCAAACUCUUUGCUGCCUUCUUCAGGUUUUAUACUUCAGACUGUAUACCCCGAUGCUACACUGUGCAGUAGGCAGUGUAAGCUCUCCAAGGUCGUAGUGCUUGCUCUGUCCCAGGCACUAUGAACUGGAAAAACACACAUGCAUAAAAACCCCAUUUAUUAUGAGAGGGAUCUGAUGCAGCCCAGCUGAAAUCCAGAGUUAGAAGUCAGAUAAUGGGGAGAUAUCCAAACCUGAGUGUUCCUGUAGGUGAAUCGAAAACCUGUAGCAGGAAUUACUCACAUCUAUAAAAAUAAGAAUUAAAGUAUCGUCAUAUUUUAAGCCUUAAAGGAGAGCUGUAGUUAAAACCAGACUGAAAUUUUACACCAAAUCCUAAGUGAAGAAAAAAAAUCUCUCCCUAAGGAUGCUGUAUUUCCCUUGUGUGCUUCACAGGGAAAGCCCAGUACUUUGGAAACAUCACUAGUCCAAAAACCCAAAGACUUCUAUUUGCUCAAGGAUUCUCAUACAUUCCUUCCUGGGGUAAAACAAACUGGUAAUCCUCACUGUUAGAGAAACGAUGUUUAUCAAUACAUAAACACAAACUAUUUAUUAAAAAAAUAAAUAAAUAAGGGCAAAGCUUAAUUUAAACCUACUACAGUUAAUGAAAGCCCCCAGUAGCCUGAGAUCCAGCUUCUCCUAACCCAGAAGAGCGGAGGCAACAUUAGCAUCGUCACACUCCUGCCCUUAGCCAUGACCCCUUUGGCACAAGGUUGAAACGCAGAGGGAGGGCAGGCUGCACUGCAGCAAUGCAGGGUACAAACUGCCGGUGCAGAUGCAGGACAACCACUGCACACCACCUCCUGUAUAAACCCCACUACGUUUCGUGUACAGAAAAUCGUUGCUGUGGAAAUACAUUCUUGUUGUUGUUGUUGUUGUUGUUGCUUUUUCCAUGCUGCAACAGCAGUUUUCCAGUACCUCUCUCCUUUCCUUUUGUUGUUCAGUUCUUUCUGGGUGAGGUGUCCCCAUCUCUGUAAAAUGUUUGGAGUUUGGCGGCUGGGAAGUAUUGCACAGGUGUGGAGGAAGGGAAAAACGUGGUCAUGUGUGGAUGGGGUGGUUUCUUCCUGACGGUGUGAAGAACCCAGCUGUUCUUGCAAUUGAAAGGCUCUGUCUUGCUGGCCAUACAUAAUCAGGUCUCCAUCUAGACUUUGCGUGACUGUGACGUACAGGAUGAGAGCCCGUGUUAGCAAAAGUAACCGAGCGAUGAGGUCAGUGCAGGACAAUGGGAUAAACUGAACUCUGUUACGACCGACCGUCAUGUUGAUAAAUGCAGCUUCAUUGUUUUUUAUAAACAAAAUUAAACUUAAUUUGCUUCACAGUGGCUAAGGUGCCGUUAAUUCAAAACCCACCAAAUUACUCACUGGACACAGUUAAUAGUCAGCAGACCACAUAGACCAGGCUUUGAAAGCAUUUAAUAUUCACUGAAGUGCUGCUUGUAUCCAAUUAUAACUCACUACUUGCCAUCUUAAUAAUUUAAAUCUGUCCACUCUUUAGAGAGGGGGGAAAAAAGCACUAAUCAAAGACAUGAAUGCACCUUUUGCUUUUGACAGCAUUAAAUUAAAACUAAAUGGUAGAUCUUGAAUGAGUUACUCUGCAAGAAUAAAGGCAUUAAUGAGGUAAUUUCAUUAUAGAGGCUCAUCCAAGCCUAUGUGAAAACAAGGGAAGUAAAUGGAGAGGAAAGCCACC
ensembl:lncRNA